CCUAGUAACUGCGAGUGAAGCGGGAAGAGCUCAAAUUUAAAAUCUGACAGCCUUUGGCUGUCCGAGUUGUAAUCUAGAGAAGUGUUAUCCGCGCUGGACCGUGUACAAGUCUCCUGGAAUGGAACAUCAUAGAGGGUGAGAAUCCCGUCUUUGACACGGACUUCCAGGGCUUUUGUGAUACGCUCUCAAAGAGUCGAGUUGUUUGGGAAUGCAGCUCUAAAUGGGUGGUAAAUUCCAUCUAAAGCUAAAUAUUGGCGAGAGACCGAUAGCGAACAAGUACCGUGAGGGAAAGAUGAAAAGAACUUUGGAAAGAGAGUUAAACAGUACGUGAAAUUGUUGAAAGGGAAACGCUUGAAGUCAGUCGCAUUGACUAGGGAUCAACCUUGCUUUUUUGCUUGGUGUACUUCCUAGUUGAUGGGCCAGCAUCAAUUUUGACCAGUGGAUAAAGGUCAAAGGAAUGUGGCAUCUCUGGAUGUGUUAUAGCCUUUGAUUGUAUACAUUGGUUGGGAUUGAGGAACUCAGCACGCCGCAAGGCCGGGUUUCGACCACGAUCGUGCUUAGGAUGCUGGCAUAAUGGCUUUAAUCGACCCGUCUUGAAACACGGACCAAGGAGUCUAACAUGCCUGCGAGUAUUUGGGUGGCAAACCCAUGUGCGUAAUGAAAGUGAAGAUCAGGAUCUCUGUCAUGGAGAGCACUGAUGCCCGGACCAGACCUUUUGUGACGGAUCUGCGGUAGAGCAUGCAUGUUGGGACCCGAAAGAUGGUGAACUAUGCCUGAAUAGGGUGAAGCCAGAGGAAACUCUGGUGGAGGCUCGUAGCGAUUCUGACGUGCAAAUCGAUCGUCAAAUUUGGGUAUAGGGG
rnacentral:rRNA from 1 species